UUAAGGUUCGACUCGAGCGUCAGCGAGAGAACGUUGCCGCAGGCAACGGCCCGAAGGGCGAGGCGCUUUAGCGCCGAGUAAUCCUUCCCCCACUCCUG
rnacentral:sRNA from 1 species